AUGAACGCUAGCGGCAGGCUUAAUACAUGCAAGUCGAGGGGUAACAUGGUAGCAAUACUGAUGACGACCGGCAAACGGGUGCGGAACACGUACAGAACCUUCCUUUAAGCGGGGGAUAGCCCAUAGAAAUGUGGAUUAAUACCCCAUAGUAAUAUUGUCUGGCAUCAGAUGGUAUUUAAAGAUUUAUCACUUAAAGAUGGCUGUGCGGCUGAUUAGGUAGUUGGUGUGGGAACGGCCCACCAAGCCAUCGAUCAGUAACUGGUGUGAGAGCACGACCAGUCACACGGGCACUGAGACA
rnacentral:rRNA from 1 species